AAAUUAAAAUUUUUUGGAAAAACUUCAAAUACCAGCCCGGUAGUUUCACACUUUCUCACUUUAGUAUCAUGUGAUUUAAAGUGUAUCGCUUUCGUAUCCUAUGGUUUUUUUUUUUUUUUUGUUAUUCCUUUUCACUAAUUUUUUUCGUUAAAUUAGUGACAAAGUUAAAACUAAAGGAUACUAAAGUGAAUAUUCGAUAAACUAUAGAUGGGAUAUUUGAAGUUUCUUUUAUAUAUGAUUAAAUAAAAAGUUAAUUGAGGUGCUGACGAAAAGAAAAAAAUAAAACCAUAAAAUAGGGGUGGUAUUUGAAAUUUACCCAAAUUUGUUUCCGAAAGUAUUUUUCAUUAAAUUUGUUUUCUUUUUCUUUUUUUUUUUGAGAAACGAAACAAUCUCUUAAGAUAAGUUCAGAGUGUUUCGGUGCAUUGAUUGAUUGAUAGAGUAUUUUUUUUUCUCACAUUAUAGCCAAAAAAAUUAAAAAAAAAUUCUGUUUCCUAAGGGUUCGUUUGGAAUUGCGGAAAGAUUGCGUUAUGAACGCAAUCGCGAUGAGUAGGUUAUGAUAUAUUUUCUGCGGUCCCACCGGAGAACGCAUAAGCAUAUUCCUAUAUAUUUUUUUUUCAACUCUAUUUUAUCUAAUAGCGUUAGAUAGAUCUCAAUACCAAAUUAAGCCUAAGUAGGAUAAUAAUAAUUAUUAAAAUUCCUGUGAAGUGAUA
rnacentral:lncRNA from 1 species